rnacentral:lncRNA from 8 species
CACCUGGUGGGGGGUAGAGACAAGCACAAGACAGGUGAAACAGAUCAGGGUGUGACAUUUUAGGAUUGUUAAUUAACAGCUGGCCUGGUACAUUGUUUGCUGCCUCCACCCAUUCAGGAUGCACUGUUUCAAAGACAAAAUAUUUUGAACAAAAACGGACGACUGUAACUAAGGAUGGCGCACAGUGUUUGAUUGCAAAUGCGGAGGGAGUCGAAAAGAGAUCACAGAAUUACAUCUUCAAACUAAGGGUAAACAUGGUAUCCAUGACAGAGAGGGAGAAGCAUUCAUCCAUAUAUAUGGCUGCAGUUUGGACUGAAGGGGCAUUUUGACCAGAGGACCUCGGCUACAAGAGGAGAUAUCGGGAGAGAGAGGGAGGUUGCACGACCAUAAUACCUUGCAUCACCCUUCAUCAAGGUACGAAAGCACAGAUUUUAUACUCUGUUAAUCAAAGAUAUCACUCAGUGUAUUCUCGAUGGCUCAGGUCUUUAGCUUGUAGGCCUGCUCAGACCCCAAAAUCACUCUUAACGACACUCUUCUUGCUAGUCAACUCAUAACCUAAUACUUACUGGCACAUUGCUAUUUAUCUUUAUGGAGUC